UGACCGAUCUCGUGGCCUAAGUAGUUAUAGCAUCUGCCUCGGAUGCAGGAAGUCGCUGGUUCAAACCUCGGUCGAGUCAU